rnacentral:misc_RNA from 1 species
GCAGUUUAUGGAAGUCAACGCUAUAUCCGCUUUUCGCCUGAAGUGCUCUCUUCUGCGCAGUUUGCAGGUAUGGCUACACCACUAACAGAAGUCAUUGAUGAUGUCCUAAAAGCAAAGUGGGACCAUGAGAGGACCAAGUUUUCAUUGCCUCCUUUGAUGACAUUAUUACUUGGAGAACCGGGCUGUGGAGGAUCUUCAACUCCAUCAAUGGUUGGAGCUGUUAAGAAAUGGCAGAGGUCUGACCCUCAGGGUUCUCUAGAAACAUGGAGAAGGUUAUCUGAAGGAAACUCUGCUCUUGAAGCGCACCUAAAUACCUUAAGUAAAUUGGCAGAGAGAUAUUACAAUGCUUAUGAAUGCAUCAUCAAUGCCUGCAGCCUACUUCCUGCUGGAAAGUGGUUGGAGAGAGCAAAUGAACCCACUCAAACAGAAAUUGUUAAAGAAUUAUUAGGAGCUCGAGAUGCUAUGCUUCGGAUAAGGUAUCAGAUGCGGAAGAUGGGAGAAGCUGCUGGAAUCCCAAUAGAACCAGAAUCGCAAUCUCAGCUUCUAGAUGCUACAGUGAAUAUGGAGGGAGUCUUGUUGGCUGGCAUUCCUGGUGCUGGUGGAUUUGAUGCAGUUUUUGCAGUUACCCUGGGGGCUUCAUGCGAAAAUGUGACUCAAGCUUGGAGUUCACUUAAUGUUCUCGCAAUGCUAGUAAGAGAAGAUCCUCAUGGUGUGUCCUUGGAAAACAACGAUCCUCGAGCAAAGGAAAUUACUACAGCUGUUUUUUCAAUUCAGCUUGAAUAAUGAUCUGGAAGUUGGAGAUCACUUGCAGUUGUUCACUUUACUAGUGCCAUAUGACUAAAACAUAAGAUCUUAAAAUAUUAGAAUGUAUAGAUUACCUUUCUAGUUCAGGUAGGCUGAAGUUUCAAAACUGCAAGGUCAUAGUGACCUCCUCCUAUUGUUUGAAGAGGGCAAGUAAUUGCCAUGAAAAAAUAAGCCAGAUGAGAGCCUGCUCUAGUUCUAUGGAUCAUUGAAUCAAAAAAUAAAUCUUGCUGGAAAUGAAUUUCUCUUUUACUUCAUUGUUCAAAUUGAUUGUUGUCAAAUUUUAUGGAUCAAAUAUUUAGCUCCAGC